GGGAAACAGAUGCUAAAUACCGGAUAACAACAGAUGAUGCCUAUCAACUGUUUAAAGAUGGUUCUGCUAUCACUCUUGGAUGGGACCUGCGGUGCAUUAGCUAGUUGGUAGGGUAACGGCCUACCAAGGGCGAUGAUGCAUAGCCCGAGUUGAGAGACUGAUCGGCCACAUUGGGGACUGAGACACGGCCCAAACUCCUACGGGAGGCAGCAGUAGGGAAUCUUCCACAAUGGGACGCAAGUCUGAUGGAGCAAACGCCGCGUGAGUGAAGAAGGGUUUCGGCUCGUAAAGCUCUGUUGUUGGUGAAGAAGGACAGGGGUAGUAACUGACCUUUGUUUGACGGUAAUCAAUUAGAAAGUCACGGGCUAACUACGUGCCAGCAGCUGCGGUAAAU
rnacentral:rRNA from 1 species